UCGCAUGUCAAUGAAUUUAAUCGUGAACAUUUUGAAAUCCCGUUUAAUUAAUGUACGCCAUGGUCGAGGGGGAUAGGACCUUUAUCGGGACUCCGGGAUCGGGUGUUUUUAAGCUCGGGAUUUCGGGAUUGACCCUUUCGGGAUCCGGGAAUUCUUUUUUUUUCGAAUUUCGGGACCUCGGGAUUUCGUGUUUUUAAGCCCGGGAUUGCGGGAUCAGGACCCCUCCUACCCUCCCUCAAGGGCUUCUGGUUUCAAGUUAAACGUGGAAUAAUUCAUACAAACUCUCAGAC
rnacentral:lncRNA from 1 species